GGCCACAGACGGCAGGACGCCGACAUGACCACCAUGGCCUGGUCCCCUCUGCUCCUCACCCUGGUCGCUCUCUGCACAGGAACCUGGGCCCAGGCUGUGCUGACUCAGCCGUCCUCUGUGUCCAAGUCCCUGGGCCAGAGCGUCUCCAUCACCUGCUCUGGAAGCAGCAGCAACGUUGGAUAUGGUAAUUAUGUGAGCUGGUUCCAACAGCUCCCAGGAUCAGCCCCCAAACUCCUCAUCUAUGGUGCAACCAGUCGAGCCUCGGGGGUCCCCGACCGAUUCUCCGGCUCCAGGUCUGGCAACACAGCGACUCUGACCAUCAGCUCACUCCAGGCUGAGGACGAGGCCGAUUAUUACUGUGCAUCUUAUGACAGUAGUAGCAGUGGUACCACAGUGCUCCAGGCCAGCGGGGAACGUGAGGACGAGGCUGACUCUGACCGUGCAGGCUGGUGCAACAGGGCUCCUCACAGCGACACAGGAUCCUGGGCCCGGGCUGUGCUGAAUCAGCCGCCCUCCGUGUCCAGGACUUUGGGCCAGAGGGUCACCCUCUCCCGCACUGGAAGCAGCAGCAACACUGGGGUUAUUAUAUCCGAGGCCGACCCAUGGCUCCGAUACCUCAGCCUGCCCUGUGUCACAGAUAGGACGUCCUGCUAA